rnacentral:rRNA from 1 species
CCUACGGGAGGCAGCAGUGGGGAAUCUUGCGCAAUGGGCGAAAGCCUGACGCAGCCAUGCCGCGUGAAUGAUGAAGGUCUUAGGAUUGUAAAAUUCUUUCACCGGGGACGAUAAUGACGGUACCCGGAGAAGAAGCCCCGGCUAACUUCGUGCCAGCAGCCGCGGUAAUACGAAGGGGGCUAGCGUUGCUCGGAAUUACUGGGCGUAAAGGGAGCGUAGGCGGAUAGUUUAGUCAGAGGUGAAAGCCCAGGGCUCAACCUUGGAAUUGCCUUUGAUACUGGCUAUCUUGAGUGUGGGAGAGGUAUGUGGAACUCCGAGUGUAGAGGUGAAAUUCGUAGAUAUUCGGAAGAACACCAGUGGCGAAGGCGACAUACUGGCCCAUUACUGACGCUGAGGCUCGAAAGCGUGGGGAGCAAACAGGAUUAGAUACCCUGGUAGUCCACGCUGUAAACGAUGAGUGCUAGUUGUCGGCAUGCAUGCAUGUCGGUGACGCAGCUACGACAUAAGACGACGUCCGCCGUCGGGGUAGGUACGGGUCGGCGAAGUAAGUUAAACGUUAACAAAGUAGUUAAGUUAGUACGGCGUUGAGACGUUGCCGACGGACGACGACGAGGGAGGAGG